rnacentral:lncRNA from 1 species
AUGGUGCUUGUAUCUGGCAGCCAGCAAGCCGCCAACUUUCUCUUCUGCAAGCAGACAGACACGGUGUUUCUGCUGUGCCAUCUUAUCACAUUGCUGGUCUGCGAGCUCUUGGGAAGCAAGGACUCUCUUAUGCAGAGUUGUAGCUCAUGGUUCGCAGCACACUGCCUUCUACACGGUGGGCGUUGGAUGUAUGAAGAAAUGAAGGAAGGAAGGAACAAAAACUCUAUGUCUUCUAUCCUGAAGAAAUUUAUGAUGAAGACUUUUGCUCUUCUCCCAGACUAUUUAAAACCUCAAUAAAAAAGGAAAAGGAAUAAGGUCAAAAGAUAUGUUACAUGAAUAUAGGGUAGUACAGAGAAGGAAAUGAUUUAUAUCCUGAAAGCUUUUGAUCUCAGAAAAAAAUUAAUACUAAGUUAUACAUUUGUUGGAAGAACAGUAGAAUGAGAAUAAAUGCAAUAAAAGUGUGAGCAAAAGAAAGUGUGAGGAAAAGUGCAUAAAACUGAAUCUUGAUGUUUUUAUAUCUUUUCAGCUUUCUUACAUAGGUUUCUAGAUUUUAUUUAAAGUAUGCAAAUGGUGCUAAUAAAUGAGUAAUGAAUAGUGUUACCUUUUUUUCCCAGAGUUUUUAAAAUUACUUAUGAACUUUAUUUCAUCUACCUUUUUUCCCUUAUACUUAGGAAAGUCUACCUAUUGAACCAAUUACUACUAAGCCUGGAAAUAAUCCUCAGGAAACAUCCCAAAUUGCAGGGAGAACAUCCAAGCUGAAUUUUCAGUCUCUAAUAAAAAUAAUACCAGUCAGUUCAUUUAUUUUUAAAGAUUUUAUUUAUUUAUUCAUGAAAGACACAGAGAGAGAGAGGCAGAGACACAGGCAGAGGGAGAAACAGGCUCCAUGCAGGGAGCCCGAUGUGAGACUCGAUCCCAGGACCCUGGGGAUCACACCCCGAGCUGAAGGCAGAUGCUUAACCACUGAUCCACCCAGGGAUCCCAACCAAUCAGUUCAUUAAAAUUGCUCUAAGUUUUAGUGGAGAAAAUUUUGUAUGCAUUUUUCUUUUCCAGUUCUGCUGGUUUUCCUCCUUAGGGUGAACAGUUUAGAAAAUCAGCAAUGAAGAGAAAACUAUGCCCCUUAUACACUGAAUGAAUUGUUACAGUUCAGAUCACAAACUACACUUUUUUUGUGAGAGAGAGAGAGAGAGAGAAUGAAUAAGGAGGGGAGAUGGGCAGAGGGAGAGGGAGAGAGAGAGGACCUUAAACAGACUCCAAGUCAGCACAGAUUUCAACCCUAGACUCCAUCUCACAACUCUGAGACCAUGACAUGAGCCAAAAUCAAGAGUUGGGUGCUUAACUGACUGAGCCACCCAGUCGCCCCACAACCAUGCUUUUUUAAUUCUAUAAAAGGAAAUUCUUUCUUAUUCAAGAUUUAUUUAUUUAUUUAUUUGUUUAUUUAUUUAUUUAUUUGAGAGAGAGAGAAAGAAAGAGCAGAGAAUGGGGGUGGGUAAUGGGGAGGGGCAGAGGGAGUGAGAAUCUUUAAGCUGACUCUGCAGUGAGUGUGGAACCCAAUACAGGACCCCAUCUCACAACCCUGAGAUCAUUACCUGAGCAGAAACCAAGACUCCAACGCUUAACCGACUACACCACCGAGGCACUCCAGCAGAAGGAAAUUCUAAAUGGGCCAGAGUAUCAAGAAAGUUGGUUAAAGCAAUCUUAACUUGCCAGAACUGGCGCUUUUUAAAAAAGUAAUUAGUAAGGGAUCCCUGGAUGGCUCAGCAGUUUAGUGUCUACCUUCAGCCCAGGGCAUGGUCCUGGAGUCUUGGGAUCAAGUCCCACGUCGGGCUCCCUGCAUGGAGCCUGCUUCUCCCUCUGCCUAUGUCUCUGCCUCUCUCUCUCUCUCUCUCUCUCUCUGUGUCUCAUGAAUAAAUAAAUAAAAUAUUUUUUAAAGUAAUUAGUAAUAACCAUUGCUAUCAGGUACUUUUUUAUUUUUAUUUUUUUCAGGUACUUUUUAAAAAACAGAAUUAUUUUUAUCUAUUUAUUUGGUGAAUCAUUUUUUAUUCACUCAUUUUUUUUUUCAAAAACUUUUUAUUGAGGGUCAAUUUUGUGCUAAAUGUUCUAAGCGCUGAGGCUAUGACAUGGAACAAAAUGAUGGUUCUGAUCAUAGAACUUAUUUUCUACUGAGAGAGAGAAAUAAUAGCCAAAUUAAACAGCAAAUAUGUAAUGUCAGAUUGUGGUAAGCACUAAGGAAAAGAAGAGUAAGGCAUGACAAGGAGCAUAGAGGGAGUUGGGGAUUCGCAAAUACAGUACCAGAUACAACAUCACAUGAAUAAAAACCUGAAGGAAGUAACAGAGCAGUUCAUGCAGAGAUUCCCCGAGGAGGAGCAGCCAGUGCAAAGGCUCUGAGGCAGCAGCAUACCUGGCCCAUCCACAGAAGCAGAUGGAAGCCACGAUGGCAGGAGGGAAGGAAGUGACAGACCAAGUGUAAGACAGAAGUUGUAGGAUGGAGAGAGGGCUGGGAGACAAACACAGACAAACAUUGUGGGCCAUUGUAAGAACCUUGGCUUGUCUUCUGGGUGAGAUAGAAGUCAUUGGAGAGUCCUGGAGGAACAACCAGCCGGAUCAUAGAAGAACCAAAAAAUGGUUUUCCUCCAAAGUGAAGAAAGUGAGGUGCUUCCAGAAAGAGAGAGAACUCAACUGUAUCCAGUCAUCGAGGGAGUUGAGGACUGAGAAUUAGCCCUUUGAUUUGACAAGAAGGGGUUCAGUAGUGACGCUGACAGGAACCUUGCGAAUGGCACAGUAAGAGCAACAAUCUGGAGCAAGUUCAGGCCUGAAAGGAAGAAUAAGAAUCAGAGCCAUUUUUGAAGAGGUUUGCUCGAAAAGAGUUAAGGCAAUAUCAAAAGGGAGAUUCAGGGUCAAAUGAUUUUGGCUUUUUUUGUGAGGAGAGGAUACUAUAAUUUGUUUGCAUGUUUCGUCAUUACAGCUCACAAAUUAGAACUCUUCAGUAGCAACACAGAUUCGGAUGAAUUUGCCUGUUUUCAGAACUCUUUUGAUGGACUGAUGUGACUCAUUCGUCUCUUAGUAUCCUAUGGGCUUACGGACUUUGUACCUCAUAACAUUAGAAACAUAUGUCCUACUGGUCUUUUCUAAACCUUUUAACCCACCGUCUGCUCUGGAAUCAUCAGUAAAGACCUGAAAAUUAGAGAUGUGCUGUGCGUGUGUGUCUGUGUACAUGUGAGAGAGACAGACAGAGAGAGACAGAGAGUUGAGAAGCAAGCUGUACAUUACUUAAAAUUUGAUAUUUAUAAUCCUUUUUGGCCAAACUUCUAAAAAAAGAAAUUGAUCAAGCAGGAAAACAGUUCAUCCAGAAAAUUAAAGUAAUGCUUCUUUUUGCAUGCAACAAUUUCUUCUGCUUAAUCUCCUUGAUCUUUCCAAAUUAACACCCUCCAAAAUUAAAUUUACUUUAGACAUGCAUAAUUUCUAAGAUUUGAUCCUAGUCAUUUCCUAUGCAGGUUUUUCAAAGAAAUCGAUGCAAUCUGUAAGGAUGGAUCAGUUGCAUGACCAGACUAUCCUAAAAGACUAAUAGUUUUCCAGCUAAAUAGAAUUAAUUUAUGUUUAGAGGAAUAUAUUGAGCAAUGUGAACCUUAAAUGUGCUUUUUUUCUCUUUCAUAUAUAUAAAUGAUAUGUGGAAUAAAAACAGUGCCUGUGUGGAGUUCGUGUAGCUUGGUGUUUGGGACUUUUUUUGUUGGCCUGAGAUGCAUUGACACACUGUUGUUCUGGGACUACGGUUCCAAGAAAAGCCAUUGUAGAUUUUUCUCUUAGGAGGUCAUGAUUGAUAUGCAAUUUUUACCCAUUGGCAUUCUUAAACUUGUUUGUCUUUUUAUUAAAGAAAAAGUGUUAGGAUAAGUAAUUGGAAGAAAAUUGUUUUUAUUCAUUAUUAUAUGGCACAAGAGAAUCAGAACAAACCCUCUUAUCCUCCUUUUUGCAAAAAUUAGAGAAGCAUUUCAGGACCUUUGUCUUGUUUCUUAUUCAUUUCUCACUAUCAGUGUCACAGGCAUCAAAACACAGGUGGGUGCUUAACUACGUUUAGACGAUAAUGGUGAUGAUGGUGGUUAUCGGUCGUAGCAAAUAUGCAACUGGACUUUCUCUCGAAUAACUGAGUUAAGGGUGGUAUUUUCCCGUAAAAUAUAGAAAGUAAGAACUUGUCCUAUACACCUAAUUUUGAAAUUCUGCUACUUCUAUAAGUGCCAUAAAGUAGCUGCCAAGGUAUUCGGUAUGGCCCAGAAGAGCUACUCACAGGCCAUUCUUGCCUAAUACAGGCAAACUUAAAAAGUAAAGUUCGAUUAAUUUUUUUCUACACCCUGCCACACAAACAACUGGUUAAGUUUGGGAAAGCAAAUGUUUUUUGUCCUAAAAUUCAUCCCUAUCUUCUAUUCCUUAAGAUCAUUAGAAUAAAAUAAUCACUCAAUAGAUCUUGUUGGAUGAACCCCAACGCCAUUACUACUACAUUCACACUGGUGUUACCAUAUAUGGAUAGAGAAGGCAUUUCUAGAAAUAGGUUAUCAUUUGUAUAUAUAAGCUAUUAUUUAUAUACAUAAGUUUUUAUUUCCAAAUAUAGGUUAAUAUAUAUAUAGCUAAAUACAGGGAAAGAGAUUAUGAGUUUAAAAAUUAGGAAUCAAGGUUUGUAGAUUCAGUUUUAACCCUGCCACAUACUGUGACCUUGAGCAAAUUAGUUAACCUCCUGGUGGCUUAAUUUAUACAUCUACAGAAGAGUAAAUUACCACCUACAUUAUUUACAGAGAGGAUGAGGAUUUACUUAACAUAGUAAUUAGUGGGACUCUAUUAUUUUGGUAAAAUUCUAGCUCAGCUGGAAAUCUGCACAGAUUUAAUUUAUGGCAAAUCUUAAUGCUGAAAUAACUACUAAUGUAUUUUUUUAAAGGAACUAUCCAACUGUAAAAUUGGCAAAAUGCUUCCCUUGGGCAAGACAAAUGAGUUUACUCUGUUGAAGCAAAUCAGCUCAUUGGAUCAGACUAUAGGACUAGAGAGUUCAAGGUCACAAGAGUAGCUCCCAUAUUGCUCAGAUACUUUCACAAACAAAACUGUCUGAGCCAUGACUUCAUUUGCAUCCCUGAUUUACAUCUUCAUCUAUUGCUCUAUAGUAUAUGGCAUAGGUCACCAAGGAGUCUGUCCUAAGAAUGUAGAUACCUCAGUAAUAUCUCUACCC